CCUGUCUGGAAAUAACAAGUUGUUUGUUUUGCUUUAUAAUUUGAGAAACAGGCUACCAUUCCCUUCCCAUCAUGGAAAACAUUCUGCAAUGAUCUGUAUCAUCUUCCAAUCAUGGUAAUCACUGACUAACCUGUUUUCACCAGAGAGGUUUUUUAUCUAAUUGGAAGUUUGAGCCUGAAACUCAGAGAAGAUAAAUGGACAAUUUUGGUCUCACGUGUUUUGUUUAAUCACUCAUUUCUGCGUAAACACCAUUUCUUGAGAUCUGGUAUCUAGGUGGAUGAGUGGAAGGAACAAUCGACUGCUCAGACCACAGCCGAGAUUGCAGAGAUGGCACUUAACUGUGGACUAACACAAAGAGGAGCCCAUCAAAGGAGAGCAAGCAAGAUGAAAAAGAAACCAAAUGUCAGGCCACAUGAUGAAGAAUUGGGAACUGGGGAAACACUGGACUUGGGAAACAACAUUUAAGACAAAGGAGGACAGAAUAGCUAAGUGCAACUAUUUACGAAUCUAAUAAGUUCCACACUUUACUUCUUUUGACCCAAGAAAGAAUUGCUACUAGUGAACUGAAGUUGCAGAGAAAUACAUGCCACCUUAUGAUGAGGAAUACAACAAAAUCUAACAAUUGGAAGUAUCCAAGGAUGGUUUAGGAUGAUCUGGAGAGGGAAGUUGUAGGAUAGGUAUGUGUGACCAAAUUAUAUGACCUUAAUGUCCCAUAUAUCUUGAGAUUCUAUGAUUUAAAGAUGCCUUUAGUAUUUAAUCCAUGGCUUGACCCAAUCCAUAGUCAACUUUUUAAUCUAUAACAUUUUAAAAGAUAAGCAAAUAAAGCCAAGUUGGUUAGAUUCUCCCACCCAAAUCCAAGCCUAAACUUAUG
rnacentral:lncRNA from 1 species